GAGUGACCUAUUUGAGGAC
rnacentral:piRNA from 1 species